GACUUUUGUUUUGUUUUAGUACAUUCUCAUUUUUUUACUUUUUUGUUUUAUUUACACAAAAAUAAUAAUAAUAAUAAUAAUAAAUAAAUUGUAUUUUUUUAAAAUAAAUUCUUUUAAUUAAAUAUUAUUUUAUGCAUUUAUAAAAAGAAAAAAAACAAGAGAAAACAAAAAAUAGAUGGUAUUAAUAUCAUUUGUAAACAUAGUCAAAAAUAAAAAUCAUAUUUAAUUAACAUAUUAUUCUUCGGAGUCAAUCUUAUUUUGAAUGAACACAAUGAUCCAUUUGGUAGAGUAGUGUAUCUAAGAGUUGUAAGGGGGAGGUCUUGAGUUUCAAUCUCAAUCUGGUCACUUUUACAAUUUUUCUCCUUUUCAUGUUUUACUUUCAAUCCUAUCAUCUUAAAAUCAACUUUUUUUACUUUUUUUAAUUAUUUCUUUUUAAUAUAUUUUUUCUAAAACUAAAAUAAAAUAUUAUUAUUUGUUAUUUUUAAUUUUUUUAAUUUUAUUUAAUUUAUCAUUAUUAUAUUAUUUAUUUUAAUAUAUAUUUUUAAUCUAAAAAAUAAAAAUCAAUCAAAAUAAAGUUAAAGAAAAAAAAUUCAAAAUCUUUUAUUGUCAUGACUUUCUUAAGUUUAUUUUUAUCAUUUUUUGUCGCUUCUUUUUAUUAGUAUUAAUUUACUGUAAUUAUUAUCACUUUAAUAUUAGAAUAUUAU
rnacentral:lncRNA from 1 species